rnacentral:miRNA from 1 species
AAUUCCCUUGUAGAUAACCUGG